rnacentral:lncRNA from 1 species
AAAAAUGUAAAAAUGAAAGAAAGAGAAUGAUAUUUUUACUGAAUUGCCCUUGUUAUUAUUUUGAAACCUUCACUUUUAUUAUUUUGAAACCUUCACUUUUAAGUAAUGAUUACUUUUUUGUUCCACUACAAACUUUUACAUGAGGACCACAAAAAGUAUUUAUAAGGGGUAAAUUUGUCAAAUUCUAUUUAGAAAUCUGAGAAUGUCAAAUAUUGUGGGACAAAUAUUUUUUUAAAAUAGCUAAGUAUUGAGGGACGGAGGUAGCAGUACAAGUGUGUGUUUUCUUUGAACAAUAGUAUAUUUGAAUGUAAAAAGCAUGUUUAGAGUUCUAACUAGAAAUUAAAAUCAGUCCAUAUACCAUCCAAACGUGUCAAUAUCAAUUUUAUGCAUUUGAAAUCACUUUUGGCUUUUUAUCUGAAAAACAAACACACACUUCAAAAUUAUUUUCUUCUCAGUGUUGGCAUUAGAACAAGGUGGGAAGUUUGACUUUUGACAUUAAACAAUUAAAUUCUUAGGGAUGUACAAUGUGCAUUAAUUUUAUUUUUUGACUUUGCAUUAAUUAAUAUAUAUUUGUUGAAAUAUUUAGCAGGAAAGGGCAGAGAGAAUUGGCAUUGAUCCUUCAAAAGGACACCCCAACUGGGGGUGGCAAGGGCAUAAUCAAGGCAC